ACGGGAGGCAGCAGUGGGGGAUAUUGCGCAAUGGGGGCAACCCUGACGCAGCAACGCCGCGUGAAGGAAGAAGGUUUUCGGAUCGUAAACUUCUUUAAGUGUGGAAGAUAGUGACGGUACACACAGAAUAAGCCACGGCUAACUACGUGCCAGCAGCCGCGGUAAUACGUAGGUGGCGAGCGUUGUCCGGAUUUACUGGGUGUAAAGGGCGUGUAGGCGGGCAUUUAAGUCAGAUGUGAAAUACCGGGGCUCAACCCCGGAGCUGCAUUUGAAACUGAAAGUCUUGAGUGCCGGAGAGGAAAGCGGAAUUCCUAGUGUAGCGGUGAAAUGCGUAGAUAUUAGGAGGAACACCAGUGGCGAAGGCGGCUUUCUGGACGGUAACUGACGCUGAGGCGCGAAAGCGUGGGGAGCAAACAGGAUUAGAUACCCUGGUA
rnacentral:rRNA from 2 species